UCCGUUGCCAGCAGCCGCGGUAAUACGGAGGGUGCAAAGCGUUAUCCGGGAUUUUAUUGGGUUUAAAGGGUGCGUAGGCGGUAUUUUAAGUCAGUGGUGAAAACUUGCAGCUCAACUGUAGAAUUGCCAUUGAAACUGAAGUACUUGAGUUAUCUUGAAGUAGGCGGAAUGUGUAGUGUAGCGGUGAAAUGCUUAGAUAUUACACAGAACACCGAUUGCGAAGGCAGCUUACUAAGGGUAAACUGACGCUGAGGCACGAAAGCGUGGGGAUCGAACAGGAUUAGAUACCCUGGUAGUCCACGCCGUAAACGAUGAUGACUCGCUGUUGGCGAUACACAGUCAGCGGCUUAGCGAAAGCGUUAAGUCAUCCACCUGGGGAGUACGCUCGCAAGAGUGAAACUCAAAGGAAUUGACGGGGGCCCGCACAAGCGGAGGAACAUGUGGUUUAAUUCGAUGAUACGCGAGGAACCUUACCUGGGCUUAAAUGUGCUAUGACCGCCGGAGAAAUUUGGCUUUUCGCAAGAACAGAGUACAAGGUGCUGCAUGGUUGUCGUCAGCUCGUGCCGUGAGGUGUCGGGUUAAGUCCCAUAACGAGCGCAACCCUUAUUGUCAGUUGCUAACAGGUAAAGCUGAGGACUCUGGCGAGACUGCCACCGUAAGGUGUGAGGAAGGUGGGGAUGACGUCAAAUCAGCACGGCCCUUAUGUCCAGGGCUACACACGUGUUACAAUGGCCGAUACAAAGGGCAGCUACCAGGCGACUGGAUGCUAAUCUCUAAAGUCGGUCUCAGUUCGGAUCGGAGUCUGCAACCCGACUCCGUGAAGCUGGAUUCGCUAGUAAUCGCGCAUCAGCCAUGGCGCGGUGAAUACGUUCCCGGGCCUUGUACACACCGCCCGUCAAACCAUGGGAGUUGGGGGUACCUGAAGUAUGUGACCGAGAGGAGCGUCCUAGGGUAAAACC
rnacentral:rRNA from 1 species